ensembl:lncRNA
CUUCAGAUCAGCUGCUUCACAAUCUGAGCACAUUCUGCUCCUUCUUUAAAGCAUUCUCUGUGCUUUUAUACAGGAGGACUUCCCCUGUAGAGGAAAUCCAGGCUUUGGUCACGUGAAAUCUUUGCUGAGCCCUUUGCAAAGGAGAAGCUGACUUGAGGUGCUGAAGGCCAACCAGUGCCCGCUCCUGAACCAGCCACCCUGCUUCAGCUCACCUCAUGCUACCCUGGACCGGGCAUCAGUGCCAGCACCCGAGAGCCCACGCUCCGUGGCAGAUCAGGGGGAUGAUCUGCAAUAAAAAAUGACCUGGGUAGAUGUACUGUGCCCAAACCGAGGGCUUGUCUGUCCUCAGGCUGGCUGCAGUGAACUGCUGCCCAUCCCAGCACACGCCAAGAGCCCAGACGUAACCACUUCGUACAUUCCCAGUCUCCAGCAACCAGCAGCUCCGGGAUGGAACUGUGUAAAGAUUGCCAGGACAAGCCGAAUGAAAAAGGAACCAAGUGUGCCUGGAAAAUGAAUGGCUAGGAUUCACCAGAACGAGCUGGAUGAAAAGAGAGGUAAAAAUGCACCACCCUGACGGCCUUAUGAUGGUGACUGAAGGCACAGUUGGACAGAAGCAUUUCCUCUAGGAGACAAAAUUUUCCCUUCCUUCCUCGAGACCUUCAAGUGACCCUACUGAAUUGUUAAAAUCCCAUUAGAAAGUGGUUGGUGGGAACAUGUGCAAUAAAUAGCUGCUAAAAUCAAAGGCAGCCUUGCUGAUACAAAAUCAAUGCGUUGCUGCUGGUGCAGGCAGUGUUCUUCUCUGGGAAAUGCAACAGC